rnacentral:rRNA from 1 species
GAUGAACGCUGGCGGCGUGCCUAAUACAUGCAAGUCGAGCGAACAGACGGGGAGCUUGCUCCUCUGACGUUAGCGGCGGACGGGUGAGUAACACGUGGAUAACCUACCUAUAAGACUGGGAUAACUUCGGGAAACCGGAGCUAAUACCGGAUAAUAUAUUGAACCGCAUGGUUCAAUAGUGAAAGACGGUUUUGCUGUCACUUAUAGAUGGAUCCGCGCCGCAUUAGCUAGUUGGUAAGGUAACGGCUUACCAAGGCAACGAUGCGUAGCCGACCUGAGAGGGUGAUCGGCCACACUGGAACUGAGACACGGUCCAGACUCCUACGGGAGGCAGCAGUAGGGAAUCUCCCGCAAUGGGCGAAAGCCUGACGGAGCAACGCCGCGUGAGUGAUGAAGGUCUUCGGAUCGUAAAACUCUGUUAUUAGGGAAGAACAAAUGUGUAAGUAACUAUGCACGUCUUGACGGUACCUAAUCAGAAAGCCACGGCUAACUACGUG